AUUGAACGCUGGCGGCAGGCUUAACACAUGCAAGUCGAACGAGUGGCGGACGGGUGAGUAAUGUCUGGGAAUCUAGCUGAUGGAGGGGGAUAACUACGGGAAACUGUAGCUAAUACCGCGUACCAUAGGAUGAGCCCAAGUGGGAUUAGGUAGUUUGUGGGGUAAAGGCUCACCAAGACGACGCUCCCUAGCUGGUCUGAGAGGAUGACCAGCCACACGGGAACUGAGACACGGCCACGACUCCUACGGGAGGCAGCAGUGGGGAAUAUUGCGCAAUGGGGGCAACCUGACGCAGCCAUGCCGCGUGAAUGAAGAAGGCCUUCGGGUUGUAAAGUUCUUUCUGUGGGGAGGCGUUACCUACAGAAGAAGCACCGGCUAACUCCGUGCCAGCAGCCGCGGUAAUAC
rnacentral:rRNA from 1 species